rnacentral:rRNA from 1 species
AUUGAACGCUGGCGGCGUGCUUAACACAUGCAAGUCGAGCGAGAAAGUUUUCUUCGGAAAAUGAGUAGAGCGGCGCACGGGUGAGUAACGCGUGGAUAAUCUGCCCUGAAGAUCGGGAUAACAGUUGGAAACGACUGCUAAUACCGUAUAAUCUGCAUAUUUGACUUUAUGUGGGAAAGGUGGCCUCUAUUUAUAAGCUACCGCUUUUGGAUGAGUCCGCGUCUCAUUAGCUUGUUGGUGGGGUAAUGGCCUACCAAGGCAACGAUGAGUAGCUGGUCUGAGAGGAUGAUCAGCCACACUGGGACUGAAACACGGCCUAGACUCCUACGGGAGGCAGCAGUGGGGAAUAUUGCGCAAUGGGGGAAACCCUGACGCAGCGACGCCGCGUGUAGGAAGAAGGCCUUCGGGUCGUAAACUACUGUCAAGAGGGAAGAAACUGUUUGAUCAUAAUACGUUCAUUCACUGACGGUACCUCUAGAGGAAGCACCGGCUAACUCCGUGCCAGCAGCCGUGGUAAUACGGAGGGUGCGAGCGUUAAUCGGAAUCACUGGGCGUAAAGCGUGCGUAGGCGGCGCUUCAAGUCAGACGUGAAAGCCCUCGGCUCAACCGAGGAAUUGCGUUUGAAACUGG